rnacentral:ribozyme from 1 species
UGCCCAGCAACUCCUAUCCCUAACUCCACGUGUUACCGGUCGGAAACUAUGAGCAACCUUAGGAAAGAUCCGGUAACCAACCCCGGUGGGAACUUUGAUCGUAGGCUGAGAGGAAAGG